CCUACGGGUGGCAGCAGUGGGGAAUAUUGCGCAAUGGGCGAAAGCCUGACGCAGCGACGCCGCGUGAGGGAUGAAGGUCUUCGGAUCGUAAACCUCUGUCAGCAGGGAAGAACGAUCACUGUGCUAAUCAGCAGUGAGUUGACGGUACCUGCAAAGGAAGCACCGGCUAACUCCGUGCCAGCAGCCGCGGUAAUACGGAGGGUGCGAGCGUUAAUCGGGAUUACUGGGCGGAAAGCGCUCGUAGGCGGGAUGUGAAGUCAAGGGGGAAAUCCCAGGGGUGAACGUGGGAACUGCCUUUGAAACUGGCAAACUGGAGAGUGUGAGAGGAUAGUGGAAUUACAGGGGUAGGAGUGAAAUCCGUAGAUAUCUGGAGGAACAUCAGUGGCGAAGGCGACUAUCUGGCACAUAACUGACGCUGAGGAGCGAAAGCGUGGGUAGCAAACAGGAUUAGAUACCCCGGGUAGUC
rnacentral:rRNA from 1 species